UGUACAUCUUUCCUUUGGCUUGCUUUUUGCAUUUAAUAUGACAUUUAUGAAAUUUACCUAUAUUUGAAAUAGUAUUCUUUUUCAUUCUACACUUGGAUGGUGGGUAUUUGGUAGAUGUUUGGGUUUUUCCUUUUUGUGUGUCUCCAUGAAUAUUGCUGCCAUGAGUAUUUUUGCAUGUUCUCCUGCUGUGUGUACCUUUAUGCAUAUUUCUGUUGGUUAACACUUCGUAUCUAGGAGUGAAAUGGCUAUAUCAUACAGCACUUGACAUUCUGGUCCAGGACUGUCACCAGUUAUCUUCCACAAUCCUUCUAUCAGUUUGUAUCUGAUUCUUCCUUUGCCACAGCCCCUGGCAGUGAACAAAAAACUCAUGUUCUUCCAUAUUCUCAACUUAUAUAUUGUCAGACUUCUUCAUUAUUACCAGUCUGGAGGGUAUUAAAUGACAUGCUAUUGUGAUCUUCAUAUUCUUUUCUUUACAGGAAUCUUCAAGGACCAGCAUAAUGGGAACUUCACUUGGGAACACAUCCCUAUGACCGUUAAAAUUCACGAGGCCAACCUGGUGGAAUUGGAGGCUCAGAGAAAGGAUGAAGAGAGACACCAUGGAAGAAGUAACUGAAGAAAUGAAGAGAUUCACAACACAAGAAAUGGGCAAGUGGCUCACUCGCUUCACCUGGUUCAAGUUCUGUCAAAGGCAUCCAGCAGAUCCCUGCAUGAUGGACUGUUUGACUUCUAUCUCUCCAGCAGGGUCCAGCCCCACUCACCCUCCAGGAAUCAGUCCCUUAUGCAUGUCUGGAGCACAUCCUCCAAGUCUGCCCUGCCACCAUUGGUCUCUCACCGCAUUAGAAUGCAUCUUGAGCUUGG
ensembl:lncRNA